rnacentral:tRNA from 1 species
AGCGAGAUAGCACAGCGGCAGUUGCAGGGCCUUCAUACGGCUCAGGUCGACGGUUCGAUCCCGUCUCUCGCUACCA